ACCACUGAGCUAAAUCCCCAGCCCCCUUGUGGGCCCAUCUUUAAACUACCUGACGCAGGAAAGUCAACGAGUUGGUAAUCCUGUGUAAACACCGCUAAGGUCAUUGUAGCCCAGUGGUCCCCAGGCUGCUGACAGGUGUGUAACCCCACAUGGCUCCUGAGCUGUCCAUGGCUACACAGAGGAGGAAUCAGAAGGCAGCCACCUCCUCUCCCCCGUAUGAAUUUCACACAAGUACAUAUUACCAGCAGAUAGCACUACCCAGACGGAUACCAUCUUGUAGCCCAGAACCUCUUGCCAGGCCCGGCAAGCUCUGGCUCUUGAAGCCUGGGCAGAAUGAAGAACUGUCGUCUUGAGUUCUGGAGGAGAGGUAAGAGGGGAACACACCCAUUCGAAAUGGGAAAGGGACGAUGAAAGAGGGGAGUUUUACCUAGCAUCCUAACAUGUGAGACCCUGCAUUCUGUCCCGGAGGGUGUUGCAACGACAUUGACUAGAAGCCUACAGCAGAAGUGGAAAGAGAAUAGAGGCUUUCUGAAGAUGGUGCCAUUGAAGGAGGGUUUGGCGCCCCACUGUGGACAGUUUGGGCUUCUGCAGCUGAAGGAACUUGAGAUUUGGACUUGUGGAUGCUAUGAAAACUUCAGAAGAGGGCAGUAUCCCUAGGAAGAUACAGCAGUAAGCAGAGCCUAGAGGCCAGCCAGAGGGCUGCAUUAGCUCAGCCAGGCAGCUCAGCUCUGACACACACACACACACACACACACACUAACUUGGCAGCACAUAUAGUAAAAUUGGAUCAAUACACUAGCACAGUCCUGUAUAAGAAUCACACACACA
rnacentral:sRNA from 1 species